rnacentral:lncRNA from 1 species
GCCCUGGACUUGUUCCCGCAGUUGGAUUCCUGCCCCUCUGACUACUUUGGUGUGUUCCAUUUUAGGCUGGGACUUUACUCUAAAAAACUUCCUAAAGAGUUGGAAGUGUGGCUGGAUUUCAAGGAAAGCUUCGCACAAGUGCACAAAAUAGCUACGUGCUAUAUUGAGUUGGGGUUGAAGUGGACUAGCUCCAAAUUGUAGUACCUCAGCAACCCACAAAAG